GUAGAAGAGUGUCUAUAUAGUGAAAAAAAUGGUGCAGCUGUGAAAGACAGUCUGUUGGAUUAGUGCUGUAACCCAGUGAUAAAACACAUCACUAUGAACUAAAAUUGCAAGUUUGAUACCCAUCAUUCAAAUAAGACCUACAAUAGCUGCCUCAUGGCCAAGCACAAGUGUUCACUUCUGGCACAAGUGUUCACAUCUGCAUUUGUGCAGCAAAUAAGCCCCAUAUUGUGUCAAUACCUGGAGAACAAGACUAGCACAGUUGAGGUAAUGAGUUUGGUCUGUUGACAAGGGGACUUGUUGUCCAUGGUGUAUAGGCAGAAGACAGUAGAUUUGAAGUUAUGAUGGCAAGUUGUCAGUUUCUUGUUAAGAAAAGGUGAGAACUGAACAGACUUCUCCAGGAACACGUAUAGUUUUGCUGAAUGUGGUUACAUGAUAACAACAGACAAACAGAAGGCCACUAGAAUCAAAGCAGAUAUAUCUCCACAUGACUCACUUUUUGGCAGACCUUCAUUUAACUAGGACCAUAGUGUCCUUGUCCAGUCUUCUACCAGAUUUGUUCAAACGGGCAUUUUUAAUACCUGUCUGUUUUUUUAUAUUUAAACACAACUUUUACCAUUUGUGCUUCAGUGUGUUAUACAUAAUUAUGUUCAAGGUCAAAUGGUCAAAUCCAGGUGAGCGACCUAGGACCAACAAGACUCUCUUGUUCAGCUUUUUACACCUUUUAUACAAGAAUUUGUUUCAUGUGAUAACAUUUGUAGAAUCCCUCUGGGGAUAUAUUGGUACCCUCACCCUAUUUGCCUUGAGGACUGACCAAUCCCUAGGGAUUCUGCAGAUGUUAUAAAACAAAAAACAUGUUUUGCCCCUAACAAAUUUAU